AAUAUUGGACAAUGGGCGCAAGCCUGAUCCAGCAAUGCCGCGUGGGUGAAGAAGGCCUUAGGGUUGUCCCGCCCUUUUGUACGGGAAGAAAGCUUUCGGGUUAAUACCCUGGGAGGAUGACGGUACCGUAAGAAUAAGCACCGGCUAACUUCGUGCCAGCAGCCGCGGUAAUACGAAGGGUGCAAGCGUUAAUCGGAAUUACUGGGCGUAAAGCGUGCGUAGGUGGUUGUUUAAGUCUGUCGUGAAAGCCCUGGGCUCAACCUGGGAAUGGCGAUGGAUACUGGGCGACUAGAGUGUGGUAGAGGAUGGCGGAAUUCCCGGUGUAGCGGUGAAAUGCGUAGAGAUCGGGAGGAACAUUCGUGGCGAAGGCGGCCAUCUGGACCAACACUGACACUGAGGUACGAAAGCGUGGGGAGCAAACAGG
rnacentral:rRNA from 1 species